CUCAGAGCUCUCGCAGGGCAGAGCCCUGGCGCGAUAACGCUGGAGCCCUCUGAAAGUUUGAGCAGGAGAGAGGAGGAGGAGGAGGAGGAGGAGGAGAAAGCGGGAGCGAGAAAAUCGAGAGCAACACCUAAGGAAGAGCGAGAAGUUGCUGCAGGAUCCGGACGCUGCCGAGACGGAUACCCGGGAAUUUCGGGCGCCGAGACCCGGGCGCUGUGUGCUCAGCCAGCCCCGCUUCCAGCCCCAGAGCACGGACAGCACAUAGAAAUGAAGAUUAACCUGCGUUUGUGCUAAAGCAUCCACCCCCCCCCCCCCCCCCAAAAAAAAGUUCGUCCU
rnacentral:lncRNA from 1 species